GGGUGAUUAGCUCAGUUGGCUAGAGCAUCUCGUUUACACCGAGAGGGUCGGGGGUUCGAGUCCCUCAUCACCCACCA
rnacentral:tRNA from 7 species